rnacentral:lncRNA from 1 species
GUUUGUCCUACACAGUUACCAGUUUGACUUCUUCCUUUUGGCUCAGUGAUUUGGAGGUCUCAAGAUUUAUUUUCCUUUCACAAUCACGACAUGGUUGUUUUACAUCAUUACGUUUGGGGAUGGUUUGUCAAACAGCAGUAGUAAUUGGAAUUUGGAGGUUGAAGCAGUACCUGGCAAGGAGAGAGAGGAUACGUGGAGGCUGCGAUUUGGAGACAGACCCAAGAGAACUUCCUGGAUGCCAUCACCCAGAGUCCCAUCCAGGGAGGGUGGGUGAGGUGGAAGACAAGGGAUCGGGCCUGCGCCACGAUCGUCACGUCCCAUCGAAGCUGGAGCGGAUCCGGGCACCCGGAGCCCCCAUUCCAACCCCUCCCGGCCCCAGGCAACUACAUCUCCCAGCAUCGCCCGCUCGGGCCGCGGGAAAGGGGA